AGUGGAUUGGAAGCGGAUUUAUCCGUGUGUGUGGAAAGAUAGUGGCAAGAAAAGCAUUGAUGAUGUUGAAUAUAAAGUCCCGGUACCCGAAACCGACACAGGUGGGUGAGUAGAGAAUACUAAGGGGAGCGAGUGAACUCUCUCUAAGGAACUCGGCAAAAUGACCCCGUAACUUCGGGAGAAGGGGUGCCACCGAGAGGUGGUUGCAGUGAAAAGGCCCAAGCGACUGUUUAGCAAAAACAUAGGUCUCUGCGAACUCGAAAGAGGAAGUAUAGGGGCUGACGCCUGCCCAGUGCCGGAAGGUUAAAGAAGUUGGUCAGUUUUCGGAUGAAGCUAGCGACUGAAGCCCCGGUGAACGGCGGCCGUAACUAUAACGGUCCUAAGGUAGCGAAAUUCCUUGUCGGGUAAGUUCCGACCCGCACGAAAGGCGUAACGAUUUGGGCACUGUCUCGGAGAGAGGCUCGGCGAAAUAGGAAUGUCUGUGAAGAUACGGACUACCUGCACUUGGACAGAAAGACCCUAUGAAGCUUUACUAUAGCUUGGAAUUGUGUUCGGGCUUGCUGUGCGCAGGAUAAGUGGGAGGCGUUGAAGAUUUGCUUGUGGGCAGAUUGGAGCCAACGGUGAGAUACCACUCUCAGAAAGCUAGAAUUCUAACUAGUGUAGACUAGGACAGUUUCAGGUGGGUAGUUUGACUGGGGCGGUCGCCUCCAAAAAGGUAACGGAGGCGUACAAAGGUUUCCUCAGACUGGUUGGAUAUCAGUCGUAGAGUGCAAAGGCAGAAGGAAGCUUGACUGCGAGACAGACAAGUCGAGCAGGGUGGAAACACGGUCUUAGUGAUCCGACGGUGCUGUGUGGAAGGGCCGUCGCUCAACGGAUAAAAGUUACUCUAAGGAUAACAGGCUGAUCUCCCCCAAGAGUUCACAUCGACGGGGAGGUUUGGCACCUCGAUGUCGGCUCAUCGCAACCUGGGGCGGAAGUACGUCCCAAGGGUUGGGCUGUUCGCCCAUUAAAGCGGUACGUGAGCUGGGUUCAGAACGUCGUGAGACAGUUCGGUCCAUAUCCGGUGUAGGCGUGAGAAUAUUGAGAGGAGCCUUCCUUAGUACGAGAGGACCGGGAAGGACGCACCGCUGGUGUACCUGUUAUUGUGCCAACAGUAAACGCAGGGUAGCCAAGUGCGGAGAGGAUAACCGCUGAAAGCAUCUAAGUGGGAAGCCCACCUCAAGAUGAGUAUUCUGGUGUAAGGUCACGGGAAGACGACCCGUAGAUAGAUAGGCACGAGGUGGAAGUGCAGUAAUGUAUGGAGCCGAAGUGUACUAACAGACCGUCAGCUUGAC
rnacentral:rRNA from 1 species